rnacentral:lncRNA from 1 species
GCUUCUUGACAAACCCGAAAGCUACCUUUAUAACUACCCUGUUACGGCGUAGCGUUUGAUAGCCCCUAAGUAAGUCGAUCCACAUCUUGAAUACAUGCGACAAUCUCAGGUCUAUGGAGAAAGCGUAUAUGUUGUUUAAAAAAGAGAACUACUUCUCGUGUUGGGUCAGUCCUAGCACAUAUCUCCACAUGUGCCCACAUUAUUAGUUUAACAUCUCCAUGUCCAUGACUUGUGAAACAUAGUCAUCAACUAAUACAUGUGCUAGUCUAAUAUUCAUGUGUGUCCUCACAUGAACUCCGACUAGGGACAACUUUAGAAUAACCAUACAAGUAAAGAGUUUCACACACAAUUCACAUAAUUGCAAAUCAAUUCAAGUAGCCUUUAAUGGAUAUUCAAGGAACACGACAUAAAUCAUGGAUACAAAUGGAAUAUCAUCAUCUCUAUGAUUGCCUCUAGGGCAUACCUCCAACAGACCCAUCCUCUCAAGAACUCCCUGCGUUUACAGAUACAUCUGCUCUGCCCUCUGCCGAUCUGCCUCAAUCCUCGCCUCUAGCUCCUCACAUCACUGCCUUUCUUCUUCCACCUGGG